AUACGUAGGGUGCAAGCGUUAAUCGGAAUUACUGGGCGUAAAGCGUGCGCAGGCGGUUUUGUAAGACAGUGGUGAAAUCCCCGGGCUCAACCUGGGAACUGCCAUUGUGACUGCAAGGCUGGAGUGCGGCAGAGGGGGAUGGAAUUCCGCGUGUAGCAGUGAAAUGCGUAGAUAUGCGGAGGAACACCGAUGGCGAAGGCAAUCCCCUGGGCCUGCACUAACGCUCAUGCACGAAAGCGUGGGGAGCAAACAGGAUUAGAUACCCUGGUAGUCCACGCCCUAAACGAUGUCAACUGGUUGUUGGGGAUUUAUUUUCUCAGUAACGAAGCUAACGCGUGAAGUUGACCGCCUGGGGAGUACGGCCGCAAGGUUAAAACUCAAAUGAAUUGACGGGG
rnacentral:rRNA from 1 species